AGCACGAUGCCGCGCAGGAAUGUGAAAGGCUCCCGCCCGCCGCCAUUUUCUUUCUUUCUUGGCAGGCAGCGAGUGGGGCAGGAAGCGGUGGCUGACCGAGUAUGGCGGACUAUUCCACGGUGCCCCCUCCUGCUUCGGGCGCGCCCGGGGGAGGCGGCGGUGGAGGUGGAGGAGUGAAUGAUGCUUUUAAAGACGCGCUGCAGAGGGCUAGGCAGAUUGCAGCAAAAAUUGGAGGAGAUGCUGGUACCUCAAUGAAUUCAAACGACUACGGUUAUGGAGGGCAAAAAAGACCUCUUGAGGAUGGAGAUGGCUCUUGGACAAGUCCGAGCAGUACAACACACUGGGAGGGAAUGCCCUCUCCUUUUAAAGAUCAACCAGAUGCUAAGAAAGUCGCUCCUCAGAAUGACUCUUUUGGAAAUCAACUACCACCGAUGCAUCAACAACAAAGGUCUGUGAUGACAGAGGAGUACAAAGUUCCAGAUGGGAUGGUUGGAUUCAUAAUUGGCAGAGGUGGAGAGCAGAUCUCACGUAUACAGCAAGAGUCUGGCUGUAAAAUACAGAUUGCACCUGAUAGUGGAGGCCUGCCUGAAAGAUCAUGUAUGCUAACUGGAACACCAGAGUCUGUUCAAUCAGCUAAAAGGUUACUUGAUCAGAUAGUUGAAAAGGGAAGACCUGCCCCUGGCUUUCAUCAUGGUGAUGGACCUGGAAAUGCAGUCCAAGAAAUCAUGAUUCCAGCAAGUAAAGCAGGUUUAGUUAUUGGAAAAGGUGGAGAGACAAUUAAACAGUUACAGGAACGGGCAGGUGUCAAAAUGGUUAUGAUUCAAGAUGGUCCACAGAACACUGGUGCAGACAAGCCCCUUAGGAUAACUGGAGACCCUUACAAAGUUCAACAAGCCAAGGAAAUGGUGCUGGAGUUAAUUCGUGAUCAAGGUGGCUUUAGAGAGGUGCGCAACGAAUAUGGGUCAAGAAUAGGAGGAAAUGAAGGGAUAGACGUUCCAAUACCACGAUUUGCUGUAGGUAUUGUAAUUGGAAGAAAUGGAGAAAUGAUAAAAAAGAUACAGAAUGAUGCUGGUGUUAGGAUCCAGUUUAAGCCAGAUGAUGGAACAACUCCAGAAAGAAUAGCCCAAAUCACAGGACCUCCUGACAGAUGUCAGCAUGCUGCAGAAAUUAUUACAGAUCUCCUUCGAAGUGUUCAGGCUGGUAACCCUGGUGGACCAGGACCUGGUGGUAGAGGAAGGGGUAGAGGCCAAGGCAACUGGAACAUGGGGCCUCCUGGUGGAUUACAGGAGUUCAAUUUUAUUGUUCCCACUGGCAAAACUGGAUUAAUCAUUGGCAAAGGUGGUGAAACUAUUAAAAGCAUAAGCCAGCAGUCUGGUGCUAGAAUAGAACUUCAAAGAAAUCCUCCACCUAAUGCUGAUCCAAACAUGAAGAUGUUUACUAUCCGUGGAACACCCCAGCAAAUAGAUUAUGCACGACAACUUAUAGAAGAAAAGAUUGGAGGUCCAGUAAAUCCAUUGGGUCCGCCUGUUCCCCAUGGACCCCAUGGUGUUGUUCCUGGCCCACAUGGACCUCCUGGACCACCAGGUCCUGGUGCUCCCAUGGGACCAUAUAACCCAGCUCCUUAUAAUCCAGGGCCUCCUGGCCCUGCACCUCACGGUCCUCCAGCUCCAUAUGCUCCACAAGGAUGGGGAAACGCUUAUCCACACUGGCAGCCACCAAAUCCACCAGAUCCAGGUAAGCCAGGGACAGAUCCCAAUUCAGCAGCAUGGGCAGCUUAUUAUGCUCACUACUAUCAGCAGCAAGCACAGCCACCACCUGCAGCCCCUCCUGGUGGACCAGCUACAACCCAAACUAAUGGACAAGGAGAUCAGCCAAAUCCAGCACCAGCAGGGCAGGUUGACUAUACCAAGGCCUGGGAGGAGUACUACAAAAAAAUGGGUCAAGCAGUUCCUGCCCCUGCUGGGGCUCCUCCAGGUGGUCAGCCAGAUUACAGUGCAGCAUGGGCUGAGUACUACAGGCAACAGGCAGCAUAUUACGCCCAGACAAGUCCACAGGGAAUGCCACAGCAUCCUCCAGCACCACAGUGCCUUCCCAGACCUUCCACCUUAGGUUCUGCUGCAAAAAAGCAACAGGUAAGCACAACCUAAGGAAGUAUAUAAAUCAAUAUAUUUCAGUACAUUAAUGUUGUCCCUGUGAGAUCUUUGUGGUUGUGUAUUGAAAAGCAAUCUGCUGCCUCCCCAAAUGCAUUGUUACUCACGGUUCCAUUUCAGUGGAAAGUCUUUUCAACAACUGUUUAUAUUUCUAGGUAAAUAUGUUGGGGUUUUUUGGGUUUUUUUGUUUUGUUGGGGUUUUUUUUUUAGAAAAGAUUAGUAGAUUGCUGUAAUUAAACUUAAAUCAGAAUAAGUAAUUUUUGUUCUUUUUCCUUAAAUAGCUAAUUGUUGCAAUUAAAGAAUAAAAACCUUUAAAAUAUGCAGGAAUUACUUUGGUUAGAAACUUCAACAGCCUUCACAAAUGUUUUUUAUAAUAGGGCACUAUUCCUACUUACACCCUUGAGACCCAAGUAUGAAAAGUAUGACUUCUUAUUGUUAUCACUGAACUUGAUACCUUGUCUUACAAUUAUAGUGUGUUAGUGGAAUUUUCAGAUAACUUAGUUUGCUUAUCCGUACUUGACAUGGUAGGAAAACAGAUUUUGGAGUUUCAGAGAUUAGUAUGUUUUAACUGAAAAAGCAUGUGCACCAAUUAAAUGUUAACAGUACAGCAAAUAAUAUUUUAUAUAGCAGUCAGUGUAUCCUGUUUCUUGAUACUGUAACUGAAUUGCUGUAUAUUUUGAUAGCUUAAAAUGUUUCUAUGUCUUAUAGAUGGUCUGGUACAGGUUUUUGUUUCUGGUUUUCAGUUUGUUUUGGUUUUGUUUUAGCUUAAAGUAAAGCAGCAUCUAUUUGUUUUUGUUGAUUAUUCUGUUUCUAAAAUGUGCUGCUCCUCUUUCAAAAGUCCUGCUUAUUUGUACAUCAAAGAAAAAUAUUCAAAAAUACUGCCUUCAUUUUCACACACAGUGCUGAAGAUGCUGCAAGCACCAAAUCAUAGCUCAUAGAAUCAGGUCCCGAGAUAGUUACUACCAGUAAAGAGGAAUCCUUUGAGUGUAUGCCAUUGGUGAGCCGAUGAGCAUGGACCAUAGAAGGGCUCCAUGUAGAAGGUAAAAUUGGCAAAAGCAUAACAGAUUUGAAAUGUAUCCCAUACAUAAUGGUGUAGGGUAUAAUUUUUGUCUUGAUCACUUUUCAUUCUUUAAAGUAUUAUUAUUGUUUGACCAUAAAUGUUCCAUAAUCUGUUAAGUUUUUUAAACUGUGAUUUAAUAAUAUAAACCAUCUAUUUUAAUUUAUAUUCUUCUAAACAGCCAAGCUUAGAUAUAUUGAAUUUUUUAACUAAUAGUUGUGCUUCAGUUUCUCGAGCCACUUAAUAUUUCAUAUGUAGUUUAAUGUGUAACUUAAUUUUUGAUGUGAGAAAAGAUUAGGUGUGUACCAUUUGGAUUUUGAUACUAUGAAUUUAGUGUUGGGGUGAGUCAUUUGUUCACUUCCUUAUACAUGGUACUUUUUUCUUCAACUGUUAUUGUAAAGUAUCUUUACAGUCUCUGAAUUCUAAGUUUAGCCAGUGGGAGGGGAUAGAGAAGAAAAAGCCAGUUCAUUGGAAUGUUGCUAGCGUGUGGAAGGUGAGAUGUUGUGUGUUGCAUUCGAGUUGUAUGGACUUCCAGGUUUCUCACUGCAGGGCUUACAGACAUGCCGGUUUGAGCUAAAAAGCAUAGUGUUCUUUUUCAACUCUCCAAAUUCAUAGUUCUUAGGAGAACGGAAAAUAGAUUGGAGCUAUCCUGAUGCUAAAAGAUAACUGGACAUCCUUAGAAGUGCAAUUAACUUGUCCAAAGGUUUCUUUACAUGUUUUCCCUCUCCUCCCCAGUUCCUUAAGAGCCCCACCAAUUAAGUAGAAUGUGAAAAGUAUGAAAAGUUUAAAAAGGAAGCAUAGUGUUCAAAGUAGGAAAAGCAUUUUCAUAUCACUUUCUGCAGCCUAUAUUUUAAUAGGACAUGAAUAAAAUGUCAGGUGGAAUAACCUUCAGUCUAGCACGAUCGUAAGUCAUCUAUUUAAGUUGUCCAGGCAGACAGGAACAUUAUUCACUUGUGCAGCCGAUCUUGAAAUAUUUCAUCUUUUUACUAGUGGUGUUUUAUUGAAUGGUAGAAUCUGUUUCUCCCCUGUUCUCUUCCAAAGUAAUUUUUAAUUUUUCCAUUGCAUGCUAAAAGCUUUUUAUUUUGCUUUUUUUCUGAAGAGGGGGAGGAAGGGAGGACUGGGCUUUUCAGAAAGCAUACAGUUGACAGGAUUCCCUCUUCCCUAGUAAUAGCUUAUAAAACUCUUUAAGUAUGCACAAAUAUUUCUCUUGCGUGCAUGUGAAAUGCCUUUUCGUCCUGAGAAAAGUGUUCUCUGCAGAAACUACCCGUGUGUAAAAAGAAGAUUGGCUUUAAAAGGCAACUGUGAUGGGAACAGUGUCUUAGGGAGAUGCAGCUUGGACUUGAGACAUAUAAUCAUCACUGAAAAAAGGGGGAUUGAGAUACUCUGAUCUCUUCACUACUGCUUGUCACCAAUGAACACUUAACUGCUAUGAGAAGCCUGUGUUUUGCAAACUGCAAUCAAGACCAAAAGAAUGGGCCAUCUUCAGAGGAUAUCUUGGAGUAAUUUAUUUGUUAAUGGGGGAAACUGACUGGGAACUGUCAGAGUAUUGAUAUUCCUGAUUUCUGUAUACUGCAAGCAGCCCUGGGACUGGUACGUGGGGUAGCCAGUUAAGGCAAUUACAGAAAUCUUGUAUUUGGAAUUCAUAGGGGAAAAAAGAAAGAAUUGAAGGAAGUUAACUGCUGAACUCUUUCUUUAAGAUAAGUUUUUACUUCAAAUUUUGACAACCACUGAUAUCACAUAAAACUGCAUGUUAGCUUUUCUUUUUUUAACUAGACAAUUUGUAUAUUACUUUAUAUUAGUUACAUACUUUAUAUUUGAUUAAUAAAUGCAUAUACGUAAGGGAGGGACAUGAACAAAACUUAAGUGAGGAUGACUAGUGACUUUGUGAAGUUCUCGUUAACUUUUUUUUUUCACUGGUGUGUGCUGCCAGCCCCCAAAUGAAAAGGAAAAAUGCAUUAUUAACAUAAUGUCAAUGUUAUUGUUGCAGAAAGGUUAAGUGAUUUAUUGGAGGUGAGGGUGAAAGAGUAAAGUACAAUUCAGGUAUCCACCUAACCAUAGAAGCCUCUCUGUUUGGACUAGGUUGGGAAUUUCAAUGUUUCAGCUUUCUAUGUUUUUGUUUUCUUCCUUGGAGAAUAUAAAUUUCUUGAAUGUUUUCGAAGUAUAGUCAAUAUAGUGAUCUUGAGCUGUGUGUCCAAGAACAUCCAUUCAUUAUUGUACUCUUUGUAAGUUAAAGUUAACGAAUUCCUAGAAAUAAUAUUUUCAAAAAUUUCAUGGAAGAUUAAAAUCUCAUUUCUCAUUUA